CCUGGCCUAGAUGAUAUAACGGGAAAGACAUACUCGUUCAGAUUUACAUUUGCAGUAAAUUCAGAACACUCCCUCUUCCAAUGUUGCAAGCCUUGGCAUCGACGAGGGAUGAAAUCCUGUACAAGGAUCGAAAUAUUUCACAGCGCUUCAAGACGCCAUGUCAGCAAGUAUCCGCUGGUUGUAGCUAAAACCCGGAGGAUUCACGUUCGCAACAUUCGAAACGGAAAUUGUGGCGGGUUGAAGAGGGAUUUUCGAUUGUCGUCCGAUUGUUGCUUCAUUGUUUCUUUGACUUUAUACGGGUCGGAAGGUGAGUUGCAGGGUGCAGUACACCAUCUCAAUCGAUCAAUAUUUUAACCACGGAGUAGGCUGGCAUUGCAAACAGAAGCAAGACGCUCUAACGGGUCUCCUCUUCUUCUCAUACGUUGGAUACUGAUAAAACUGAAGACAGACAUGGCGGGACAGAGUUCUGGAUAAUUGUACGAAAUUAAUAAAACAGAAACAGGACGUGAGCCUGUUAAGUAAUUUCAACUGACACGAGAUGUUGUCUAUACCAGAUUUUUCUUAACGCAGUAAUGAGCAUUCGCGUUACAUGCAAUGUGAGAUAUUUAGCCAGCUGAACGACUACAAGCUUCUGAAGAAGGACUUUAGUAGACAGGGUUAAUUAGAUAAAGAGAUAAACGGCUAUUUUAGUGUCAUGUUGCACUGUUCUUAUCACACAUUCACUGGCCCUAUGUUUCACCGUCUUUGUACAACAAUGAAUGUUGUACAUACAUUUUAUUCAAGCCACACGUAGUAAUUAUACAUUGUGACGUAUAGAUCCGUUGCUAGGCAAAGACCUUGAAAUAAAUAACAUGACAAAUGUAGCGUGUACAGCCGUUGUUAUGCAAUAGGCAGAUAAACAACAAUGUUAAGCAAACCGUUUACGGGCAACGGAUCGAUAAAGACGUUCCCGCGGCAACGAAUACGCACACAACAAUAAAUUUACUGUUUGAAACGGUGUUUUAUACUCGAUCCGUGUAAAGUGGUUAUAAGGAAGACAGUUUGGAUGACCCAUUUAGUUGUUAGUUGAGAGAGAGAGAUUUGAAAGUCCGGAUCUGAAGAGGAGAUUUUAUGUGUGCUGUAGUUACAUUGAGACUCUUAUGAUUACUGUGUUAAAAUCCGUUGCCAGGCUACGGCUAGUGAAGACUGAGAAGACUUAGCGUGUGCAAGUGAUUUGUAAAUUGUGAAGAUCAGCGAUAUUAUUAAAGAUAUAUGUAGUAAUGACCUGUAAAAGGUAAAUAAAUAUAUCCAU